CUUUCCGAGGUCAGAGAAGAAAGACGGAUUGCUGUGGGGAAGGAAGAGUUAAAGAGAGAGACGGGGGAUUACUAUAGUUGGGAUGGAAGGAAGAGAAGAAUGAGGACAGCCCAUGCUAAAAUGGAGUGUUGUGUUGGGAAAACAUCGAGCAGACUAAUUUAGUUGGAAUUUGAGUUAUCUGAGGGGAAGUAAUAUGCAAUAAGCCUAUCAAGGGUGGAUUAGAGCCAGAAUGUGAAGGGCUCUGCCUAAGAGAAAUGUGCAUUGUAUCUUGAAGUCAAUAAUCCAUUGAAGGUUUUUAAGAAGAUCCAUGCUUUAGGAAUGUCAUUUGGCAAAACAUGGAUGAUGAAGAGGAGGCAAUUGAAUCAGGGUGCUGGAAGACCUGUAGAGUUACAAAACUGUUGUAGUAGUCUAGGUGAGAGUUGAUGCCUGAACUAGAGUACUAAAUGGGGUAGGGGGUGGAGGGGAGGACUGUUACUUGUUUUGGGUUUGGUUUGGUUUUGAGGCAAAAGUCUUUGAGUAUAAACCUUGACUUUAUGUGUUCAACCUUGAGCAAGUCACUUCACCUAGUUUUUCAUCUGUGAAAAAAGAACUCUUCAGGACCAGGAAUCUGCCUCUGGGUGAGACUUGGUAGCUGUGGAUGAGCUGCUCACAGGGGGCAGAUCUGGAAGACCAAACAGGAGCUGAAGAAGGACUUAAAUGUCAAGCUAGAUGAGGCCCUGGAAGAGAUAUUGUGGAGCCUGACACAAAUAUUCGCUGAAAGUGUCCAAUCAGGGCAGCUAAGUGGCACAGUGGAUAGAGCACUGGCCAAUAACACUUACUAGCUGUGUGACCCUAUUGCCUAGCAAAAAAAAAAAAAAAGAAAGAAAGAAAGUAUGCAAUCUGCAGGUGAAGCCACCUUUGACUUGUCUCUCUCUGUGGCACAGAAAAUGCAUAUAUUCUCAAGAGCAGGCUAGCAGAUUAUAACCAACUCCUUCACGAUCCUGGUUCUUCAUAUUGUCUUUAAAAGAGAGAAGCUGCAAAUGGAACAACUACAGCUGCAGCAAUUAACUCUGAGUCCUAACAGGGUCUGUCUGGAGCAGACCUACACAACCUGCGACAGCUUACGAUCCCAGGUCACUUGCUGCACUCCAAAGGAUUUCUGGUGCAUUUUUCUGAAGGCUUUCUGACAUCCUUUGGCGACCUGCAGGCAGUAGGUUGUGAAGGCCUGAUCUAGAGAGAUACCAAAGGCUGUACCUCCACUCCCUGGAACGAAAUAAGCAUGGAGAAGCCCAUCUUUCAACCCUGCCUCUCACAAUGUCAUAAUAAUGAUUUUUUUUUCCCUUUAGUCCUUCCACUCUGAAACAAGUUGAGUGUAAGGAUGCAGACCUCUGAAUUCCCCACUCACUUUGCUAAGCUGCUGCCAAUCAAGGGAUCCCUUUUUCCUGGAGAAACUGAAGAACUUGUCUUUGAUACUGGAGGUAAUAUGGAGCCAAUAAACCUUUGAAAUCGA